UGGGGAAUUUUGGACAAUGGGGGGAACCCUGAUCCAGCCAUGCCGCGUGAGUGAAGAAGGCCUUCGGGUUGUAAAGCUCUUUAGUUCGGGAGGAAAGCUAUUCUGUGAAUAAUGGGAUGGGAUGACAGUACCGAAAGAAUAAGCACCGGCUAACUACGUGCCAGCAGCCGCGGUAAUACGUAGGGUGCGAGCGUUAAUCGGAAUUACUGGGCGUAAAGAGUGCGUAGGUGGUUUAUUGCGCCAGAUGUGAAAUCCCCGGGCUCAACCUGGGAAUGGCAUAUGGUACGGAUAGACUAGAGUAUGGUAGAGGGGGGUAGAAUUCCAUGUGUAGCAGUGAAAUGCGUAGAGAUGUGGAGGAAUACCGAUGGCGAAGGCAGCCCCCUGGACUGUGACUGACACU
rnacentral:rRNA from 1 species